rnacentral:lncRNA from 1 species
UUCUGUUUGUGGAAAAUGGGAUAAUGCAUGUUGAUACCGAUGUAAGCAAAAUAAUGAAAUAAGUAAAGAACAAGAGAAAGAGAUUUUUAUUGAUUGAUUCCAAGUGAAUGAGAGCUGAUGAAGUAUACUAUAUUAGGAAUAGUUACAGUAUACAAACUGUAACUAUUCCUAAUAUCACGCCCACCAAUACAAUUGUACAAAUUACAUGUGAUAAACUAGAAUCUCAUAUGUUAUGCUAGUAGAGAAUCAUAUGUCAAAUGGAAAAUUCCGAGUAUCUCAGAGUUCGUUGGUGUUGAAAGAAUGACGAUUCAGGUGCUUGAUCCGAAGUUAAUUUUCAG